rnacentral:rRNA from 1 species
GAUGAACGCUGGCGGCAGGCUUAAUACAUGCAAGUCGAGGGGCAGCACAGGUAGCAAUACUGGAUGGCGACCGGCAAACGGGUGCGGAACACGUACACAACUUACCUUAGAGUGGGGGAUAGCCCAGGGAAACUUGGAUUAAUACCCCAUAAAACAGGGGGCCCGCAUGGGCAUAUUGUUAAAGAUUUAUCGCUUUAAGAUGGGUGUGCGUAUGAUUAGGUAGUUGGUAGGGUAAAGGCCUACCAAGCCGACGAUCAUUAACUGGUGUGAGAGCACGACCAGUCACACGGGCACUGAAACACGGGCCCGACUCCUACGGGAAGCAGCAGUAAGGAAUAUUGGUCAAUGGACGGAAGUCUGAACCAGCCAUGCCGCGUGAAGGAUGAAGGUCCUCUGGAUUGUAAACUUCUUUGAUAGGGGGCGAAAAAGGGCCAUUCUUGGUCAACUGACGGUACCCUAUGAAUAAGCACCGGCUAACUCCGUGCCAGCCGCCGCUGUAA